UCAGAGAGGAGCUAAAGGUCAAAGAGUUUCAAGGCAUUUGAUGAUAACUUAUGAUGGGGUAAAGCCGUAAAGGUUAUGUCCAGUGGACUGCCUUUAUCUCAGGGCAAGGUUUAGGUGGACUGAUUUGGUCAUCUUCUUGCAACAUCGGUAACGUCGUCCUUUUACUCCGUCAAGGUAAUUGCAUGGACUUAAAAUGUUUUCCCUGCUAUGUUGUGUCUGUUACUUUGACAUUGGCUUCCUCAUGAAUUUAUCUUGAAUAGUAGUUCAUUCUAUGAUUUGAUUCUAAUAUUCUAAAAUACAGUCUUUCGAAAACAGUCUCUUUGCCUUCUUGAAGGUAGGGGUAAAGUCUGCGUACAUACUACCCUCCCCAGACCCCAUUUGCGAGAUUACACCUGGUCUGUUGUUGUUGCUGCUUCUAAAAUACAUAUUUGCGUGUGUUGGUAUAAAUGUGAUAAUGAACUAUUAUUGAAAUAUUGUAUACUUCUCUGCCAGUUGAAGUAUGUCAACAGGCAAGCGGUAAUCCAUAGCAUUGUCACAAAUAUCUGUGUUUAUCGUCUUCUUAAUUAGACAAUAUCAUGCUUCUUGCUGUAUAGAAACUAACUUUUACUUAUUUGCCUUUCACAGCAUGUCUUGCUAAACAAAGAAUUACAACCAUACCUUAUGUCGCAGUUCGUAUUAACCUUUGUUCUUAAAGGUAUUCUGAUUGCAUUAGAACUUCUGAUUGAUGCACUUAGUAAUAUUAUGAAUUAAAAUGUUUAACACAUUAGAUUUCACGUAUUU